ACAUGUCUACAACAUAGCAUUAAUGCACCGGAUCCCAUUAGAACUUCGCAGUUAAGCGUGCUCGGGCUAGAGUAGUACUGGGAUCGGUGACUGCCUGGGAUGUCCUACUAUUUUACAUGCC
rnacentral:rRNA from 1 species